UUAGUCAGGGAGAAGAGAAUGCCCACACACGCGAACGAGUACACGCUAUCUGCAGCUCUUGUCAAAGAGUAGGAAGAUGCGACAUAAGGAGGGGAGUGGGAUAACACGAAGCUCAGUUGACCAUUGUACCGACGUUACAGACACUUUAUGGAGCUCGCUAAUAUUAAAUCUCUCUACCUUCAAAAUAAAAAAGCUUCCAUGUUUCGGGUAACGAAUCAGGAAGUUGUUUUGGUAUUUGAAAAAUUGUAACUACUCCACGAUUAUUG